GAUGAACGCUGGCGGCGUGCCUAAUACAUGCAAGUCGAGCGAACGGACGAGAAGCUUGCUUCUCUGAUGUUAGCGGCGGACGGGUGAGUAACACGUGGAUAACCUACCUAUAAGACUGGGAUAACUUCGGGAAACCGGAGCUAAUACCGGAUAAUAUUUUGAACCGCAUGGUUCAAAAGUGAAAGGCGGUCUUGCUGUCACUUAUAGAUGGAUCCGCGCUGCAUUGGCUAGUUGGUAAGGUAACGGCUUACCAAGGCAACGAUGCAUAGCCGACCUGAGAGGGUGAUCGGCCACACUGGAACUGAGACACGGUCCAGACUCCUACGGGAGGCAGCAGUAGGGAAUUUUCCGCAAUGGGCGAAAGCCUGACGGAGCAACGCCGCGUGAGUGAUGAAGGUCUUCGGAUCGUAAAACUCUGUUAUUAGGGAAGAACAUAUGUGUAAGUAACUGUGCACAUCUUGACGGUACCUAAUCAGAAAGCCACGGCUAACUACGUG
rnacentral:rRNA from 1 species